UUGACAGCAGGGAAGAUUGAAAUUCUCAAUUUAGCCAUGGAGCAGGUACAGUAGAGCAAAGGCAAUAAUCCUUCAAUAUACUGCAACCCUGACCAGGAAUGACCACUUCUAAGGAUGAGAGGGAGAGGUGCAGGCACUGUCUUUAUUCAGUCCUUGACCUCU